CCUGGCUCUGCGCAACCCUUUCCCUCCUCUUCCCCAGCUGCCCACUCCUGGGAGCUUCCUUCUGCGAAGGGCUGACAGCCCUUGGCCCCGCCUGAAAGGGGGGAAAUGUGCCCUUCAUCCCCUCCCCUCGCCCCCUCCCCCCCGCCUCUACUGCGGGCAGCUUGGGACCCUUUCUGUUCCCUCAACAAGGGUGGGCGCACCACCUGUGAAAGGUGCUCCAAAGGGGGGCGGGGCUGGGAGUCUCAAGUGGGGUCUGAGAAAAGUUGGGUUGCAAAGAAAAGUUGGGUUGCAAAGAAAAGUUGAGAGAGAGAGAGAGAGAGAGAGAGAGAGAUUAAAGAGAAGAGUUGAGUCCUGGACAGUUGCUCAGGGUGGGGAUGCCACAGUGCCGGGCUCUCUCAGUAGGGCAGCGCUUGUUUUAACUGAAAAUCCCCGUCACAGAGGCAGAGGACUUGUUGAAACAGGGGAGAAAUCUCAGAGAGAGACUCCCUGUCAGUCCCCCGGAAAGUGCACCCAGGCCCCUUCUGGCGCGGGGAAGCUGCUUUCUGCAAAGGGGGCUCCCCUGUUGGGCUGAAGUGCCCGGGACUCUGAUUUAUCCGGAGGUCUCUCCCUUGGGAAGGUCCCCAGCCAUUCUAGGCCUCCCAGGAGCAGGUUUGUUCAGUCUCCUGGGCAGAUGUCACCUCCUCCUCACACUUAGGUGAGGCCAUGGGACCACAUGGAACCAAGAGAAUACUUUUUGACUCAACUGUGCUGGUGUUUUCAUAAAUAAAGCACUUAAAAAAGAAUGCCUGACUUUCUAAGAGACUGCUCUGCCCCUUAGAACAAUGUAAUAAUUAAACCCCUUAUGCUUCAGAGUUCCAAAACUAGUCAGACCCUAACA